rnacentral:rRNA from 1 species
UGGGGAAUUUUGGACAAUGGGCGCAAGCCUGAUCCAGCCAUGCCGCGUGUCUGAAGAAGGCCUUCGGGUUGUAAAGGACUUUUGUCCGGGAGCAAAUACCCAGUGCUAAUAACGCUGGGGGCUGAGAGUACCGGAAGAAUAAGCACCGGCUAACUACGUGCCAGCAGCCGCGGUAAUACGUAGGGUGCAAGCGUUAAUCGGAAUUACUGGGCGUAAAGCGUGCGCAGGCGGUUUUGUAAGCCAGAUGUGAAAGCCCCGGGCUCAACCUGGGAACUGCGUUUGGAACUACAAGACUAGAGUGUGUCAGAGGGGGGUGGAAUUCCGCGUGUAGCAGUGAAAUGCGUAGAGAUGCGGAGGAACACCGAUGGCGAAGGCAGCCCCCUGGGAUAACACUGACGCU